rnacentral:rRNA from 1 species
GUCUACAUUAGAUACCCUGUAGUCCCAGCCGUAAACUAUGCUCGCUAGGUGUCAGGCAUGGCGCGACCGUGUCUGGUGCCGCAGGGAAGCCGUGAAGCGAGCCACCUGGGAAGUACGGCCGCAAGGCUGAAACUUAAAGGAAUUGGCGGGGAGCACCACAACGGGUGGAGCCUGCGGUUUAAUUGGACUCAACGCCGGGAAGCUCACCGGAUAAGACAGCGGAAUGAUUGCCGGGCUGAAGACUCUGCAUGACUAGCUG